AUUGAACGCUGGCGGCAUGCCUUACACAUGCAAGUCGAACGGUAACAGGUCUUCGGAUGCUGACGAGUGGCGAACGGGUGAGUAAUACAUCGGAACGUGCCCGAUCGUGGGGGAUAACGGAGCGAAAGCUUUGCUAAUACCGCAUACGAUCUACGGAUGAAAGCAGGGGACCGCAAGGCCUUGCGCGGACGGAGCGGCCGAUGGCAGAUUAGGUAGUUGGUGGGGUAAAAGCUUACCAAGCCGACGAUCUGUAGCUGGUCUGAGAGGACGACCAGCCACACUGGGGCUGCGACACGGCCCAGGCGCCUACGGGAGGCAGCAGUGGGGAAUGUUGGGCAAGGGGCGCAAGCCUAAUCCAGCCAUGCCGCGUGCAGGAUGAAGGCUUUCGGGUUGUAAACUGCUUUUGUACGGAACGAAAAGACUCUGGUUAAUACCUGGGGUCCAUGACGGUACCGUAAGAAUAAGCACCGGCUAACUACGUGCCAGCCGCCGCCGUAACAC
rnacentral:rRNA from 1 species